ACCAUUUUUUAUCAUAAUCAUAAUCCACAUCAUGUUUAUCAUCAUCAUCAUUUCACUCCUAAAAUAUAAUUAUAAUCAUCAUAUCCUUCUCUUCAACCAUUUUAACCUUUCUCCUUCUUAAUUAUGGCUCAUCAUAUCUGUGUUUUACCUUUACCAAUUUACAUUAAAAACCCAUUGAAACUACAAACUUUCCUUUCCAGUGAUUUACCCUAAAUUAUCAACUCAAUUGAUUUCAAUUUAACCUUCCCUCAUUAUUAUUACCACAAAACAGCAACAACAACAACAGCAUCCAUCAAUGGGUUCAUUUGCAGCUCUAAAAAUCGCAUCUAAUUUAAUUUAAAAUAAUUGGUCAAGUGUAAACAUGAGAUACAAAUACUGGUACUUAUGCAGAUGAAAUAUCAUGUAUUUUAACAAGCUGUUGUUGACUAAAGACACUGUAAAUGUAAACCCAGUCUCUAUUAAAAUGGUUAUAAUUGGUGGAUCGCCAUUUCUUUUUUGGUUCACAACAAUUUGACUUGACUGUUUAAAGUUUUUUAUCACAAUCAAACCGGAUUACAAGUGAAUGCAACAUCUAAUUAUCAACAAUAUACAAGAAAUCUGAAGCAAACAAAAAGAAAUAUGUAUCAGGGAAAUGAAUAAUUUUCCGGUUACUUUAAUAACAUAAAAGAUACACGAUAAUGAUGAUUAUGUUGAUGAUUUUUGUUGAUAACAAUUGUACACACAAGACUGGACUGACAAUUGAAGGUGAUCAGGAAAAAGGUGGAGGAAGAUGUGAAGUAAUAACCGGACAACAAAAAAACAAACCUACAGCUAAUUGAAAGGCGAGGAUAGGCGAACAUUAAAUUGUUAAAGGUUAAUUGUUGUUGUUAGUAUUGGUGUUGUUAGCCGUGUUAGCCCAAGAAGAGGUCAACGGUUAUCCAGGCAUGGUCAUCAUCAACUCUUCAACAACAACAACAAUAAUAAUAUAUAAUGGUUUAGGUGAGACUUGAUUUCGCUUCGAUGAAUUUUAAGUGGACUUUAAGAUGAUCGACAAACCGUGACUUUUACCUUCACCACCAUUAUCAUCAUCAACAUCAUGAGCAACAUCUCAGCUCCCAUAUCUUAAGAUUUUACCUUCACUUUAAUUACUCUACAUUCAAUGAUUAAAUUGUAAUCUACUUGGAAAUGGAAUGGAUUUUUCCUUGGGAAUUGCCAUUUUGCCAGAGUUAACUCAUGGAGAUACGACAAGAUGAUAACAUGGAUACAAUAUUGACCAACAGUUUAAUUUGCUAUCCAAUUUAACCAUCCACUUUGAAUGUUGACUAAAAACUUGAAACAAUUCAUUACCUUUUCAUUGUUCCAUCCAAAUGAUAUUGUUCAAUCAUCUAUUCCAUCAUUUUGAUUGUUUAAUCAAUAUUAUUGUUACAGAGAGUUAAAUAUAAUACAUGAUUGUUGAUCGUUUUUUUGUUGCUAACCAUUCAAAGUGAGACUAUAAAUGACACCAAUUAUUAUAAAUUUUCAACCAUUUAUCGAUUCUUGUGGGUUAAUUCAAUUGUUUUUUUCACUGUUCAAUGUUUAAACGAACCAUUUGUUGGUUAAUUACAUUUGAUCAAUUUGACUAUUGAUUAAAUUCAACGCAAUCAACAAAAUUGAUGUACUCGCAAAAUAGAAACAAAAUCAUUGACUAUCAAGGUUGAACAGAAAAUAAAACGAUCCUAAACGUAGGUUGAAUUAAUCAACUAAAGUGUAAUCUAUUAACAAGGUAAUCAAGUCUUAGUGAUAUUAACAAUUUACCGAAAUAUAAUUAACUUUGGCUCAAUAAUUGAUGAAUAAAUCUUAUUGUAAUAAUUAAUGGUUUCAUUUUUACCAUUAUCAA